rnacentral:rRNA from 1 species
GUGGGGAAUAUUGGACAAUGGGCGCAAGCCUGAUCCAGCCAUGCCGCGUGAGUGAUGAAGGCCCUAGGGUUGUAAAGCUCUUUCACCGGUGAAGAUAAUGACGGUAACCGGAGAAGAAGCCCCGGCUAACUUCGUGCCAGCAGCCGCGGUAAUACGAAGGGGGCUAGCGUUGUUCGGAAUUACUGGGCGUAAAGCGCACGUAGGCGGGUAUUUAAGUCAGGGGUGAAAUCCCAGAGCUCAACUCUGGAACUGCCUUUGAUACUGGGUACCUAGAGUAUGGAAGAGGUGAGUGGAAUUCCGAGUGUAGAGGUGAAAUUCGUAGAUAUUCGGAGGAACACCAGUGGCGAAGGCGGCUCACUGGUCCAUUACUGACGCUGAGGUGCGAAAGCGUGGGGAGCAAACAGGAUUAGAAACCCCAGUAGUCC